CCGAAUGGUCACUUACAUUCCUUAAAAAUUAAGCAAAUGAAUCACUUAAAUGAACUAGCUAGAUUCGGCUGAACAUGGAACUCCAUUAGACACCUUCUAGAUGAAGCAUUGGACUUGAAAAAAACUUGGAUGAUGCAUGGAUAGCUAGGUUCGGCCAAUGGGCAUAAAUUAGCUCAUUUAUGUUGCAACUUUUGGCUGAAAAGUGACCAGCAAUUAAGAGGGUAAUGAGCAGCCAAUUCAAGUGUGAAAGCUCAACAUUGAAG
rnacentral:lncRNA from 1 species